rnacentral:rRNA from 1 species
AGUGGCGGACGGGUGAGUAACGCGUGGGUAACCUGCCUUAUACUGGGGGAUAACAGCCAGAAAUGACUGCUAAUACCGCAUAAGCGCACGGUAUCGCAUGAUGCAGUGUGAAAAACUCCGGUGGUAUAAGAUGGACCCGCGUUGGAUUAGCUAGUUGGUGAGGUAACGGCCCACCAAGGCGACGAUCCAUAGCCGACCUGAGAGGGUGACCGGCCACAUUGGGACUGAGACACGGCCCAAACUCCUACGGGAGGCAGCAGUGGGGAAUAUUGCACAAUGGGCGAAAGCCUGAUGCAGCGACGCCGCGUGAGCGAAGAAGUAUUUCGGUAUGUAAAGCUCUAUCAGCAGGGAAGAUAAUGACGGUACCUGACUAAGAAGCACCGGCUAAAUACGUGCCAGCAGCCGCGGUAAUACGUAUGGUGCAAGCGUUAUCCGGAUUUACUGGGUGUAAAGGGAGCGCAGGCGGUGCGGCAAGUCUGAUGUGAAAGCCCGGGGCUCAACCCCGGUACUGCAUUGGAAACUGUCGUACUAGAGUGUCGGAGGGGUAAGCGGAAUUCCUAGUGUAGCGGUGAAAUGCGUAGAUAUUAGGAGGAACACCAGUGGCGAAGG